UGGGUAUCUACUUAGGAUCAGCCUAGAGCAGUCUUCUUAAGAUUAUUUUUUUUUAAAAAAAUUCAACCUACGAAUCUGAACGAAUCCUGCAUCGCGAUCAACUCUUUGAUCUCUUUCCUUGAUCUUUUUUUUUCUCUUCUUGUUUUGCCUUUCUCCCUUGAUUUAUACUACUACCAUGGGCUAGAAACUAGCAAAAGAGAGACACCCAACAGCCUUGGGCAUGGAAGCAAUUGGGACAUCCCAAAAAGGGAUGGCAUGUGGACGUCCAAGGAGAAGAGAGGGAGAGAGGAAGAGAGGGCAUGGAGACUUUCUAUGGGGCAUGGGGGCUACUAGUUUUGAUGCCUUGGGACCUUAGGAGAUGUCCCUUUAAAUAGCCAU
rnacentral:lncRNA from 1 species